UUAGCGCGGUGGUCCCACCUGACCCCAUGCCGAACUCAGAAGUGAAACGCCGUAGCGCCGAUGGUAGUGUGGGGUCUCCCCAUGCGAGAGUAGGGAACUGCCAGGCA
rnacentral:rRNA from 2 species